AUUGAACGCUGGCGGCAGGCCUAACACAUGCAAGUCGAGCGGAUGAAGGGAGCUUGCUCCUGGAUUCAGCGGCGGACGGGUGAGUAAUGCCUAGGAAUCUGCCGGGUAGUGGGGGAUAACGUCCGGAAACGGGCGCUAAUACCGCAUACGACCUGAGUGAGAAAGUGGGGGAUCUUCGGACCUCACGCUAUCAGAUGAGCCUAGGUCGGAUUAGCUAGUUGGUGGGGUAAAGGCCUACCAAGGCGACGAUCCGUAACUGGUCCGAGAGGAUGAUCAGUCACAGUGGAACUGAGACACGGUCCAGACUCCGACGGGAGGCAGCGGUGGGGAAUAUUGGACAAUGGGCGAAAGCCUGAUCCAGCCAUGCCGCGUGUGUGAAGAAGGUCUUCGGAUUGUAAAGCACUUUAAGUUGGGAGGAAGGGCAGUAAGUUAAUACCUUGCUGUUUUGACGUUACCAACAGAAUAAGCACCGGCUAACUUCGUG
rnacentral:rRNA from 1 species